rnacentral:rRNA from 1 species
UACGGAAGGCAGCAGUGGGGAAUAUUGCACAAUGGGCGAAAGCCUGAUGCGGCUAUGCCGCGUGUAUGAAGAAGGCCUUAGGGUUGUAAAGUACUUUCAUCGGGGAGGAAAAAACAAAACUAAUAAUUUUAUUUCUUGACGUUACCCGAAAAAGAAGCACCGGCUAACUCCGUGCCAGCAGCCGCGGUAAUACGGAGGGUGCUAGCGUUAAUCAGAAUUACUGGGCGUAAAGAGCACGUAGGUGGUUUUUUUAAAGUCAGAUGUGAAAUCCCUGGGCUUAACCUAGGAACUGCAUUUUGAAACUGAAAUACUAGAGUAUCGUAGAGGGAGGUAGAAUUCUAGGUGUAGCGGUGAAAUGCGUAGAUAUCUGGAGGAAUACCUGUGGCGAAAGCGGCCUCCUAAACGAAUACUGACACUGAGGGUGCGAAAGCGUGGGGAGCAAACGAGGGAUUAGAUACC